GCCUCGGUGUGUAGUGGUUAGAGCACGCGUGCCCGGAUAGGAUGAAACGUGGGUUCAAUUCGCGCCUGAGGCU